CUGGCCAAAGCGACAGGAUCUGGUUCACUAUCAGAACCCAUGUUUAUAGUCCACCCUGAUCAAGAGCGACUUUAUGUCCGCAACGACGGUUACCCCACUAAGGCCAAAGCGACAAAGUGGGUCGAGAUCAUUAAGGCCAAAGCGACAAAAUGAUCUCCAAGUCUAUCAAGGCCAAAGCGACAAGAUAGCAGAAUUAUUGAGGCCAAAGCGACAAAAUAAUUCUUUGGUCCAUUGAGGCCAUAGCGACAAAAUGGACCGACUCGUUUAGAGUCUGAUUCUGGCCGAAGCGACAGAAUGCGUGGAUCCUGGCCAAAGCGACAGGAUCGUUCCUGCAAAACAAAAAUAACCUGCAAAACAACUACAUCAGUCUAAAGGAUAUAUUCACUAUUGACUUACUGACCUUGCCG
rnacentral:lncRNA from 1 species